rnacentral:rRNA from 1 species
UACAGAGGGGGCGAGCGUUGUUCGGAAUUACUGGGCGUAAAGGGCGCGUAGGCGGCCCGCUAAGUCGAACGUGAAAUCCCCAGGCUCAACCUGGGAACUGCGUCCGAUACUGGCAGGCUUGAAUCCGGGAGAGGGAUGUGGAAUUCCAGGUGUAGCGGUGAAAUGCGUAGAUAUCUGGAGGAACACCGGUGGCGAAGGCGGCAUCCUGGACCGGUAUUGACGCUCAGGUGCGAAAGCGUGGGGAGCGAACCGG